ACCCCGCCUGGAAACACCUGACCGCCCAGUAAACCACGUGGGACGCCACCUAGGUCCUGGAAGGUCAAAGCGGUAAUACAAACACCACCGCCUACAACAAAUAUCCGGGGAACUUCAUCACACAGCCGACUCACAGGUCCUGACAGCUCAAAGCAGAGCGUUCCAUCAGCUAACCUGACACACAAGUGGAUCAGCUACGGGAGCGAAGUUCCUAUUCCCUCCAUUCGGAGAAGGCGAUCGGCGGAGGCCGUGGAAGUGGUGGAGGUUGAGGAGGAAGAGGAGGAGGUGGCCGGACCCUCCCAGCCUAUUGAGCCACCCCCACCAGAUGUGGGAGAAAUUAAAGAGGUGGAAGUGGAAAGUGCUGGACACUCCAGCACCGCCCCAUCUCAGGAUUUGGAGGCGAUCACCAGCCCCCGCCAGGAGGUACUGAAGACAUUGAAGGCCAAAGUGGCAAAAAUGCAGAAGGAGCACCUCCAGGAUUUGCGUGAAAUUCAUGAGCUGAUGAAGGCCAUGGAGGAGAGGCACCGCCAGGCCAUGAAGGGGGUGCAGGAGAUGC